GCGGGAUUAGUUUAAUGGUAAAACGUCAGUUUUCCAAACUGAGGUCACAAAAUUAUAUCGCU
rnacentral:tRNA from 1 species